CUCGGGGUGGCUGGGGGUCCCUCAGCCUGGAUGGCGAGAGGGCGCAGGCCAGGUCGAGGGACCCCACUGGUGCACG
rnacentral:pre_miRNA from 1 species